UGCGGGAGGGCCGCCGGGUGGUCGGCGUCCGGGCUCGCGACCUGGAGACCGGCGCCGAAUUCGAGAUCCGCGCCCGCAC
rnacentral:tRNA from 1 species